rnacentral:rRNA from 1 species
AUUGAACGCUGGCGGCAUGCCUUACACAUGCAAGUCGAACGGCAGCACGGGGCAACCUGGUGGCGAGAGGCGAACGGGUGAGUAAUGCAUCGGAACGUACCUUUCAGUGGGGGAUAACGUAGCGAAAGUUACGCUAAUACCGCAUACUCUGUGAGCAGGAAAGCAGGGGAUCGCAAGACCUUGCGCUGAUGGAACGGCCGAUGUCGGAUUAGCUAGUUGGUGAGGUAAAGGCUCACCAAGGCGACGAUCUGUAGCGGGUCUGAGAGGAUGAUCCGCCACACUGGAACUGAGACACGGUCCAGACUCCUACGGGAGGCAGCAGUGGGGAAUUUUGGACAAUGGGGGCAACCCUGAUCCAGCCAUGCCGCGUGAGUGAAGAAGGCCUUCGGGUUGUAAAGCUCUUUCGGCCGGGAAGAAAUCGCACGGGCUAAUACCCUGUGUGGAUGACGGUACCGGAAUAAGAAGCACCGGCUAACUACGUGCCAGCCGCCGCGGUAACAC